UGCGAGGGGGGCGAGCGUUGUUCGGAAUUAUUGGGCGUAAAGGGUGCGUAGGCGGUUUGGUAAGUCUUAUGUGAAAUCUACAGGCUCAACUUGGAGUCUGCACGAGAAACUGCCGGGCUUGAGUGUGGGAGAGGUGAGUGGAAUUCCUGGUGUAGCGGUGAAAUGCGUAGAUAUCAGGAGGAACACCUGUGGCGAAAGCGGCUCACUGGACCACAACUGACGCUGAUGCACGAAAGCUAGGGGAGCAAACAGG
rnacentral:rRNA from 1 species